rnacentral:rRNA from 1 species
UACGGAGGGUGCAAACGUUGCUCGGAAUCAUUGGGCGUAAAGCGCACGUAGGCGGCCUGUUAAGUCGGGUGUGAAAGCCCGGGGCUCAACCCCGGAUGUGCAUUCGAGACUGAUUGGCUUGAGGACGGGAGAGGAUGGUGGAAUUCCCAGUGUAGAGGUGAAAUUCGUAGAUAUUGGGAAGAACACCGGUGGCGAAGGCGGCCAUCUGGACCGGUACUGACGCUGAGGCGCGAAAGCUAGGGGAGCGAAUGGG